AUUGAACGCUGGCGGCAUGCCUUACACAUGCAAGUCGAACGGCAGCACGGGAGCAAUCCUGGUGGCGAGUGGCGAACGGGUGAGUAAUAUAUCGGAACGUGCCCAGUCGUGGGGGAUAACGCAGCGAAAGCUGUGCUAAUACCGCAUACGAUCUAAGGAUGAAAGCGGGGGAUCGCAAGGCCUCGCGCGAUUGGAGCGGCCGAUAUCAGAUUAGCUAGUUGGUGGGGUAAAGGCCCACCAAGGCGACGAUCUGUAGCUGGUCUGAGAGGACGACCAGCCACACUGGAACUGAGACACGGUCCAGACUCCUACGGGAGGCAGCAGUGGGGAAUUUUGGACAAUGGGCGCAAGCCUGAUCCAGCAAUGCCGCGUGCAGGAUGAAGGCCUUCGGGUUGUAAACUGCUUUUGUACGGAACGAAACGGCCCUUUCUAAUACAGGGGGCUAAUGACGGUACCGUAAGAAUAAGCACCGGCUAACUACGUGCCAGCAGCCGCUGUAA
rnacentral:rRNA from 1 species